rnacentral:rRNA from 1 species
UACAGAGGGUGCGAGCGUUAAUCGGAAUUACUGGGCGUAAAGCGCGCGUAGGCGGCUUCGCAAGUCGGGUGUGAAAUCCCCAAGCUCAACUUGGGAACUGCAUUCGAGACUGCGUUGCUAGAGUAUGGGAGAGGGAAGUGGAAUUUCAGGUGUAGCGGUGAAAUGCGUAGAUAUCCGGAGGAACACCGGUGGCGAAGGCGGCUUCCUGGACCGACACUGACGCUGAGGCGCGAAAGCUAGGGGAGCAAACGGG